AUUGAACGCUGGCGGCAGGCCUAACACAUGCAAGUCGAACGAGCGCCGGACGGGUGUGCAACGUUUCGGUAACUGCCUGAAGGAGGGGGCUUACUACUGGUAACGGUACCUAACACCCCAUACCAUAGAAUGUCUCCAGAUGGGAUUAGCUAGUGGGUGGGGUAACGGCUCACCUAGGCGACCAUCCCUAGCUGGGCUGAGAGGAUGACCAACGACACUGGAACUGAGACACGGUCCAGACUCAUACGAGAGGCAGCAGUGGGGAAUAUUGCACAAUGGGCGCAAGCCUGAUGCAGCCAUGCCGGGGGGAUGAAGAAGGCCUUCGGGUUGUAAAGUACUUUCAGCGAGGAGGCGUUACCCGCAGAAGAAGCACCGGCUAACUCCGUGCCAGCAGCCGCGGUAAUUC
rnacentral:rRNA from 1 species